UACGGAGGGUCCAAGCGUUAUCCGGAAUCAUUGGGCUUAAAGGGUCCGUAGGCGGUUUUGUAAGUCAGUGGUGAAAGCCCAUCGCUCAACGGUGGAACGGCCAUUGAUACUGCAAGACUUGAAUUAUUAGGAAGUAACUAGAAUAUGUAGUGUAGCGGUGAAGUGCUUAGAGAUUACAUGGAAUACCAAUUGCGAAGGCAGGUUACUACUAAUGGAUUGACGCUGAUGGACGAAAGCGUGGGGAGCGAACAGG
rnacentral:rRNA from 1 species